rnacentral:rRNA from 1 species
ACUCCUACGGGAGGCAGCAGUGGGGAAUUUUGCGCAAUGGGCGAAAGCCUGACGCAGCAACGCCGCGUGAGUGACGAAGGCUUUCGGGUCGUAAAGCUCUGUCGAGGGGAAAGAAGUGUAGAGUGGCUAAUAUCCAUUUUACUUGACGGUACCCCUAAAGGAAGCACCGGCUAACUCCGUGCCAGCAGCCGCGGUAAUACGGGGGGUGCAAGCGUUGUUCGGAAUUAUUGGGCGUAAAGAGCGUGUAGGCGGUUUGUUAAGUCUGAUGUGAAAGCCCUGGGCUCAACCCAGGAAGUGCAUUGGAUACUGGCAGACUUGAAUACGGGAGAGGGUAGUGGAAUUCCUGGUGUAGGAGUGAAAUCCGUAGAUAUCAGGAGGAACACCGGUGGCGAAGGCGGCUACCUGGACCGAUAUUGACGCUGAGACGCGAAAGCGUGGGUAGCAAACAGGAUUAGAUACCCUGGUAGUCCACGCCGUAAACGAUGAGAACUAGGUGUUGCGGGUAUUGACCCCUGCAGUGCCGCAGCUAACGCAUUAAGUUCUCCGCCUGGGAAGUACGGUCGCAAGACUAAAACUCAAAUGAAUUGACGG